rnacentral:rRNA from 1 species
AUUGAACGCUGGCGGCAGGCCUAACACAUGCAAGUCGAGCGAGCGGCGGACGGGUGAGUAAUGUCUGGGAAACUGCCAGAUGGAGGGGGAUAACUACUGGAAACGGUAGCUAAUACCGCAUACCAUCAGAUGUGCCCAGAUGGGAUUAGCUAGUAGGUGGGGUAACGGCUCACCUAGGCGACGAUCCAUAGCUGGUCUGAGAGGAUGACCAGCCACACUGGAACUGAGACACGGUCCAUAUUCCUACGGGUGGCAGCAGUGGGGAAUAUUGCACCAUGGGCGCAAGCCUGAUGCAGCCAUGCCGCGUGUGUGAAGCAGGCCUUCGGGUUGUAAAGCACUUUCGGCGGGGAGGCGUUACCCGCAGAAGAAGCACCGGCUAACUCCGUACCAGCAGCCGCGGUAAUUC